rnacentral:lncRNA from 1 species
CUUAACCAGGAGAUAAGAUUAUUAUUCAUGUAAAAGCAUUCUCCAGAUGUGCUUUAUCUUAUCAUCCAUGUCCUGCCCAAUCAGUGUCUGUUAUCCUACAAGAUGAGAAUUAGAGUCUAAAGUGUACAAUAAACCAAAAUUUAAUGUGCUUUUCAUGUAUCUAAUGGCUCGUUUGACAACUGCUAGGUAAGAUUCCUUUGGUUUAGCUCGAUGUCUAGCAUAGACUUCAACACUGAAAGCAAUAUCAAGAAGGCUUACAUUCAAGUGUAAUAGGCUGCAAAUCAUGCUCCUGUACAAGCUGGGGUAGAUAUCCUUUCCUUCGUCAUCUCCACUAAGUUUUAGAGAUGUGGCCAUAGGAGUCCUGACAGACUUGGUGUUUUCAAGUUCAACUUCUUGAUCAAGUUCUUUGCACAGUUGGCUUGUAAGAUAAAGAUACUUGCAUCAACCUACUUAACCUAUAAGCUCAGAAAAUAGUUUAAUUCACCUACCAUACUCAUUUUCAAAUUCACUUUGCAUAAGAUUGACAAACUCCCUGGAAUUUAUUUUAGAUAUGGAUCCAAAGACUAUGUCAUCCACAUAGAUUUAAGCCAAAAUCAGGUUAGUCCUUAGGUUUCUAAUGAUCAG